rnacentral:lncRNA from 1 species
UUACAUCAUGGAUUAUAUAUUUAGUGAAGUCAAGAGGGUGAUUCAAUUUUAAAACCACACAAAAAGGAAUGGAAAGAAUACUGGAGUCCAGGUGUACGCAGGCUCUAUAAGAAUCAGAAACAAAAGCGAGGGAACUUGAUUGAUUUUGCUCCAACAAUUUAUAAACGGUCAACUGGUGAUGAGCAAUCACAGCUAUGCAUUUGUGUUCAUGGUAGAUGGAUCCCAACGAUGAGAUACUUUAUGUCUUUGUCAAAGAGAGAGAUCUAGACACAUGGAUUAUAUUCUAGGCUUCAAGCCUAAUUGCUCAUCACAACAAAAUAAAAA